AGGGUAUGUAAUCACCAUACAGCACUCACCCGGGAAGUGUUCUUCAGUUCAGCUUUAAGAGCUUUCUCGUUGACCGUGAUAUCUUUCUCAGCUUUGCAGGCUAACUU